rnacentral:rRNA from 1 species
UACGGAAGGUCCGGGCGUUAUCCGGAUUUAUUGGGUUUAAAGGGAGCGUAGGCUGGAGAUUAAGCGUGUUGUGAAAUGUAGACGCUCAACGUCUGCACUGCUGCGCGAACUGGUUUCCUUGAGUACGCACAAAGUGGGCGGAAUUCGUGGUGUAGCGGUGAAAUGCUUAGAUAUCACGAAGAACUCCGAUUGCGAAGGCAGCUCACUGGAGCGCAACUGACGCUGAAGCUCGAAAGUGCGGGUAUCGAACAGG